rnacentral:rRNA from 1 species
GUGAAAUUCCGUCGGAAUCUGGGAGGACCAUCUCCUAAGGCUAAAUACUCUCUAGUGACCGAUAGUGAACCAGUACCGUGAGGGAAAGGUGAAAAGCACCCCGGAAGGGGAGUGAAAUAGAACCUGAAACCGUGUGCUUACAAGUAGUCAGAGCCCGUUAAUGGGUGAUGGCGUGCCUUUUGUAGAAUGAACCGGCGAGUUACGAUUUGAUGCAAGGUUAAGCAGUAAAUGUGGAGCCGUAGCGAAAGCGAGUCUGAAUAGGGCGUUUAGUAUUUGGUCGUAGACCCGAAACCAGGUGAUCUACCCUUGGUCAGGUUGAAGUUCAGGUAACACUGAAUGGAGGACCGAACCGACUUACGUUGAAAAGUGAGCGGAUGAACUGAGGGUAGCGGAGAAAUUCCAAUCGAACCUGGAGAUAGCUGGUUCUCUCCGAAAUAGCUUUAGGGCUAGCCUCAAGUGAUGAUUAUUGGAGGUAGAGCACUGUUUGGACGAGGGGCCCCUCUCGGGUUACCGAAUUCAGACAAA